CUUUACUGUAUCCUGGAAUUGAAUUUGGGUUUACUUUGCGCAGUAUAGGUGGGAGGCUAAGAGUUUAUACUUGUGGGUAUAAAGGAGCCAUCAGUGAGAUACCACUCUAACUAAACUAGAAUUCUAAUCUUGAAGUCGUUAGCCGGCCAAGAGACAUUUUCAGGUGGGCAGUUUGACUGGGGCGGUCGCCUCCUAAAAGGUAACGGAGGCGUGCAAAGGUUUCCUCAGGCUGGUCGGAAAUCAGUCAUAGAGUAUAAAGGCAUAAGGAAGCUUGACUGCGAGACUUACAAGUCGAGCAGAGACGAAAGUCGGCCUUAGUGAUCCGGCAGUACUGAGUGGAAAGGC
rnacentral:rRNA from 1 species